GACGAACGCUGGCGGCGUGCCUAAUACAUGCAAGUCGAGCGAACAGACGAGGAGCUUGUUCCUCUGUCGUUAGCGGAGCACGGGAGAGUCACACGUGGAUAACCUACCUAUAUUAGGGGGAACAUCUCGGGACACCGGAGCAAACACCGGAUAAUAUACUGCACCGCAUGGUUGAUUAGUAAAAGUCGGCGUUGCGGUAUCGACUCGCUGGAUCCGAGCCGCUUUAGCUGGUUGGUAAGGUAACGGCUUAUCAAGGCGACGAUGCGUAGCCGACCUGAGUGAGUGGUCGGCCGCACGGGAACUGAGCCGCGGACCAUACUCCUGCGGGAGGCAGCAGAAGGGUAUCUGCGGCAAUGGUCGGGAGCCUUACGGAGCAACGCCGCGUGAGUGACGAAGAUCUUCGGUUCGUGAUGCUCGGUUAUUGGGUGAAAACAAAUGUGUCAGGAACUAAGCACGUCUUGACGGUACUUGGUCAAAAAGCCACGGCUAACUACGUG
rnacentral:rRNA from 1 species